rnacentral:rRNA from 1 species
CCUACGGGAGGCAGCAGUGAGGAAUAUUGGACAAUGGGCGCAAGCCUGAUCCAGCCAUGCCGCGUGCAGGAAGACGGUCCUAUGGAUUGUAAACUGCUUUUGUACGGGAAGAAACACUCCUACGUGUAGGAGCUUGACGGUACCGUAAGAAUAAGGAUCGGCUAACUCCGUGCCAGCAGCCGCGGUAAUACGGAGGAUCCAAGCGUUAUCCGGAAUCAUUGGGUUUAAAGGGUCCGUAGGCGGUUUAGUAAGUCAGUGGUGAAAGCCCAUCGCUCAACGAUGGAACGGCCAUUGAUACUGCUAGACUUGAAUUACUAGGAAGUAACUAGAAUAUGUAGUGUAGCGGUGAAAUGCUUAGAUAUUACAUGGAAUACCAAUUGCGAAGGCAGGUUACUACUAGUGGAUUGACGCUGAUGGACGAAAGCGUGGGGAGCGAACAGGAUUAGAUACCCUGGUAGUCCACGCCGUAAACGAUGGAUACUAGCUGUUCGGGGCAACCUGAGUGGCUAAGCGAAAGUGAUAAGUAUCCCACCUGGGGAGUACGUUCGCAAGAAUGAAACUCAAAGGAAUUGACGGCUGAGACGNGCGAGACGACGACGAGGGAGGAGG